rnacentral:rRNA from 1 species
UACGAGGGGGGCAAGCGUUGUUCGGAAUUAUUGGGCGUAAAGGGCGCGUAGGCGGUUUGACAAGUCUGAUGUGAAAUCUAUGGGCUCAACCCAUAGCCUGCAUUAGAAACUGUCGGGCUUGAGUAUGGGAGAGGUGAGUGGAAUUUCCGGUGUAGCGGUGAAAUGCGUAGAUAUCGGAAGGAACACCUGUGGCGAAAGCGGCUCACUGGACCAUAACUGACGCUGAGGCGCGAAGGCCAGGGGAGCAAACGGG